rnacentral:tRNA from 1 species
GUCCCCAUCGUCUAGUCCGGUUAGGACGCCGGCCUCUUUGACCCUACGGGUCAUCACCCACGGGGUGACAAGCCGGAAACACGGGUUCAAAUCCCGUUGGGGACG